GGGGGUGUAGCUCAGUGGUAGAGCACUUGCCUAGCACAUGUGAAGUUCUGGGUCAAUCCCCAGCACUGUUU
rfam:Ictidomys tridecemlineatus contig022575, whole genome shotgun sequence.